rnacentral:rRNA from 1 species
CGGCGGACGGGUGAGUAACACGUGGAUAACCUACCUAUAAGACUGGGAUAACUUCGGGAAACCGGAGCUAAUACCGGAUAAUAUUUUGAACCGCAUGGUUCAAAAGUAAAAGACGGUCUUGCUGUCACUUAUAGAUGGAUCCGCGCUGCAUUAGCUAGUUGGUAAGGUAACGGCUUACCAAGGCAACGAUGCAUAGCCGACCUUAGGAGGGUGAUCGGCCACACUGGAACUGAGACACGGUCCAG